UACGUAGGUGGCGAGCGUUGUCCGGAUUUACUGGGCGUAAAGAGCGCGCAGGCGGUCGUACAAGUCGCGUGUGAAAGCCCCCGGCUCAACUGGGGAGGGUCACGCGAUACUGUUCGACUCGAAGGCAGGAGAGGGAAGCGGAAUUCCCGGUGUAGUGGUGAAAUGCGUAGAUAUCGGGAGGAACACCUGUGGCGAAGGCGGCUUUCUGGGCCCUACCUGACGCUGAGACGCGAAAGCGUGGGGAGCGAACCGG
rnacentral:rRNA from 1 species